CCGGCUGGUUUCUUUUCCUCAGCUUAGCGAUAUGCUUAAGUACGGCGGGUAGUCUCGUCCGAGUCGAGGGCAGCAAGUCUUGUUACUUGUACA